rnacentral:rRNA from 1 species
UACGGAGGGAGCUAGCGUUGUUCGGAAUUACUGGGCGUAAAGCGCACGUAGGCGGCUUUGUAAGUCAGAGGUGAAAGCCCGGGGCUCAACUCCGGAACUGCCUUUAAGACUGCAUCGCUUGAAUCCGGCAGAGGUGAGUGGAAUUCCGAGUGUAGAGGUGAAAUUCGUAGAUAUUCGGAAGAACACCAGUGGCGAAGGCGGCUCACUGGACCGGUAUUGACGCUGAGGUGCGAAAGCGUGGGGAGCAAACAGG